AAAGUCGUAACAAGGUUUCCGUAGGUGAACCUGCGGAAGGAUCAUUAAAAUAUAGAAUUUAUUUUCUGUAAACCCAAUCUGUGUACUUGUACCUGUUGCUUCCGUGAGCCGGUGAACGCAAGUUCGCCCUCUGGUGUCAUUCCACGGAAUGACUUUACCACUGAGUGCUCACGGGAGGUCUUCAUAAACUCUGUUUUUUUUGAACUCAGUCUGAAUAUUGUUUAUAAUUAAACUUUAAAACUUUCAACAACGGAUCUCUUGGUUCUC
rnacentral:misc_RNA from 1 species